rnacentral:sRNA from 1 species
GGGCUGCCCAAGGUCUGGGUGGAGACUCUGGCCCCCUUUGCAGUUACCUGGAGCCUUCCCUCAGCUCAACCCUGCUGUGCACCCUGCAACUCAACAGGGAAAUCGUGACUAUCGUGGUAUUUGGCGUGGAGUACUUCGUGCGGAUCUGGGCCGCAGGCUGCUGCUGCCGGUACCGUGGC